rnacentral:rRNA from 1 species
AUCAACUUUCGAUGGUAGGAUAGAGGCCUACCAUGGUGGUAACGGGUAACGGGGUGUUAGGGCACGACACCGGAGAGGGAGCCUGAGAAACGGCUACCACAUCCAAGGAUGGCAGCAGGCGCGCAAAUUACCCAAUCCCGACACGGGGAGGUAGUGACAAUAAAUAACAAUACGGGGUUCUUUAGGAUCUCGUAAUUGGAGUGAGUACAAUUUAAAUCUCUUAACGAGGAACAAUUGGAGGGCAAGUCUGGUGCCAGCAGCCGCGGUAAUUCCAGCUCCAAUAGCGUAUAUUAAAGUUGUUGCAGUUAAAAAGCUCGUAGUUGAAUUUCGGGGUUAGUAGGUUGGUCAUGCCUCUGGUAUGUACUGGUCUCACUGAUUCCUCCUUCCUGAUGAACCGUAAUGCCAUUAAUUUGGUGUUGCGGGGAAUUUGGACUGUUACUUUGAAAAAAUUAGAGUGUUUAAAGCAAGCUAACGCUUGAAUACAUUAGCAUGGAAUAAUGAAAUAGGACGUUCGAUCCUAUUUUGUUGGUUUCUAGGAUCGACGUAAUGAUUAAUAGGGAUAGUUGGGGGCAUUAGUAUUCAAUUGUCAGAGGUGAAAUUCUUGGAUUUAUUGAAGACUAACUACUGCGAAAGCAUUUGCCAAGGAUGUUUUCAUUAAUCAAGAACGAAAGUUAGGGGAUCGAAGACGAUCAGAUACCGUCGUAGUCUUAACCAUAAACUAUGCCGACUAGGGAUCGGAUGAUGUUAAUUUUUUAAUGACUCAUUCGGCGCCUUACGGGAAACCAAAGUGUUUGGGUUC